rfam:Gossypium hirsutum cultivar TM-1 chromosome 4, whole genome shotgun sequence
UGUUAAAAAUUUUAUUCAUUUCUAUCGUUAAAAAAUGACGUGACUAACAGAAUAACCGGAAAGUUACACUUGGUGUGUCACGUGUACCUCAUUAUGACAUACAUAGACCAAUUUUUAAUAGUAGAAAUGUAUGUAAUUUUUAACA